GACCGGGUAGCUCAAAUGGUAGAGUAGAUGACAUGUCCCCAGGAGGUUCUGGGUUCGAAUCCCAGUCCGAGCG
rnacentral:tRNA from 1 species